rnacentral:rRNA from 1 species
UCAAGAAACUUCCACAAUGGGCGAAAGCCUGAUGGAGCGACGUCGCGUGAUGGACGAAGUGCUUCGGCACGUAAACAUCUUUUAUGUGGGAUGAAAUUAUUGACAGUACCACAUGAAUAAGGGGCUCCUAACUCUGUGCCAGCAGGAGCGGUAAUACAGAGGCCCCAAGCGUUAUCCGGAAUCACUGGGCGUAAAGGGUGUCGAGGCGGUUGUAUUAGUCGUUCGUAAAAUCUACGAGCUUAACUUGUAGGCGGCGAACGAAACGGUACGACUUGAGGUUUGGAGAGGUGCGUGGAACUCACGGUGUAGGGGUGAAAUCCGUUGAUAUCGUGGGGAACACCAAAGGCGAAGGCAGCGCACUGGCCAAAAUCUGACGCUCACACACGAAAGCUAGGGUAGCGAAGAGGAUUAGAUACCCGAGUAGUCCCUGAGCGGGCUGGCAAGGC